GGGGUGCAUGAAUGAGAGGUGAGGUGUAUAGCUGGGGGAAAAACACUUGGGCCAAAGGCCCAAAUCCGGGUCUUCCAUGACAUUACCAAGAAUCGGUCCAAUUGAGAUGAGGAACGUUCCAACUCAAGGGAAGACGCUCGUGACGAGGACAGUAAAGGAAAUGAAAUGCAGAAAAUGCGUUUAUGUUGGGGUUGAAACCUACCGUCGAUGCCGAAAGUUUCCAGUGUGUGGCCGCCGCGAGUAAUCACGAACCUUCAACCGAACUCCUUCGAUCUGUGCCGUCUUCGCCGCUACGUUAGGUGAAAGAUGAAGACAAUGCUUGGUCACGAACUCGUUCGUUGCGUAAGUUGUAUCUUCGGUUUGGAUGACGGUAAUGAAGACCGUUGAAGUUGGCUUAUCAAAUCUCUACGGCGAAUCUUGAUGAAGACGGAGCCUCUUCCAAAUCGUGAGUUCUCUUCCCGAUUUUGUUUUCGUUUUCUUCUGCUCUCCGUCGAUCUUCCUCUUCUGUUACACUUCUUUUUCCGAUUUUCUUCUUCUGUAUUCUGCUAUUGUUGAGAGAUGGUUCUAAGUUGCCAUGUUGUUGGAAGUAUGGGUGAUGGAAAGGAAAUGUUGGAUCUUGGUAUCGGUAGUGUUUUUGACAAGAUUUUGUUUGGAGUUUUCUGCAGAACUGAGUUCUGAAUGAAACUCUGAAGGUAAAGUUGCCUGGAGUUGGUUAUGGUGUGUUGAAAGUUGAAGGCUGAAGAACUCGGUUGGUUGCUGCGGUUAUAUAGAGUUUGUUGUGAUUUUGGAGAAGAUGGAAGAGAGGUUGAAGAUGAAUGUGGCAAUGAAAGAGAGAGAGCUUCUGAACGGCGAAGGUUUUGUAUCCGCGUUUCGUUCGCGUUUGGGUUGAGCCGCUCAUGAACUUUUGGUAAUGCUUCUUUUCCACGCCGGCGUUGCCGUUUUGGCUUGAUUCUAGCGUGUUGUAGCUUGGCUUAAUGUGUUAAGUAGCAGCUUAUGAGUUUUGAUGCAUUGGCGUUGGUGUGCUGCUGUUGUCAUGGCUUAUAUUUGAAGCUCUUUUCCAUAGCAGCUUUUUGGUGGUUGUUGCGCAUUGUAGCAGCUGGUUUGCGGAAGCCGUUUUGUGUGGUGGCUCGUUUUCGUUUGGACUUUGGCCUUUGCACUGCAGUACCAUGUGAGUUGAGUAGCUGGGAGUUUGGAAGGUGUUUGAGUUGCAGUUGUUGUGCAGCUUUUCGUUGUAGCUGCUUAGGAUAGUGAGUUUGAAUGUCGCUUUUGGCUUGGCUCAUCAUCACAUGUACUUGUUUUGGACCUUGGAAGUAUUGUGUUAAUUGGUUAAUGGCCAAACCACAUGGAUUUAAUUGGA